GCCUUAAUCCACUGGAGAAGGAAAUGGCAAAGCACCCCAGUAUCUUUACCAAGAAAACUCAUACUGGGUCAGAAAGCGAUGGAUGUGACUGAACAAUUGAACAAGGAGAAGGCUAGAUAUAGAUAGCCCCUGAGGUCUGUGAUCCUUUCAUAUAUAAGGAAGGAGUUUGGUUUGAUUAGCCAGAGGAAGAGAGCCAUGGGGUGGGAAGUCUGGAUAGCUGAGAUGUAGCCCUGACUCACUGGGUGGCCCUUUGGACUAGUCGCUGCGGCCUCAGUUUACUUCAGGGUGUGUGUCAAACCUGGUAUACUUGGCUAUUUCACAGGGUGGUAGGGAGAACUAAUUAACGUUUGUAAAUCUCUUCCUGAGAUCAAAGGUGCUGCCUAAGUGCAAAUACUAUUUCAUAAAAACCCUUGUGGUUUGCCAGUGCAGGGCCAAGUUACCUUUGAUCUGAGACAUGGUUGACACCCUAGAGGGUACCACUUCUUCCCUGAAGUGCUUGGGGGUCCAGGUUUGUCUGUAGUACACAUGGUACCAGUUGUAAGAAAAAACUAUAUGAAUGGGGAAUUUGCUCAGUUUCUGGGCAUGAUUUUGGGGACAGUCUGCAGUGGAGGGGUGGGUCUGUAGAGGAAAGGGUUAAAGAGCCUGUGUCUUUGGAACAUAGUAAACUCUCCACCAAAGGCAUUUAGAAAGUGUAGGGUAUACAGUAUUUCAUAAGUAACUUCAUUUCCUGUCUCCUCUAUUGUUUUCCAUUUGAUUAAGUGUAUCCUGUUAAACUGUAUAUUCCUGUUACGAGUUAUACUUUACCCUGAUAAAAUGAGAGUACACACACAUUCCCCCCACUCCCCCUGCUUUUUAGGAGAGAACUCUUGAAAAGGAACUUUGUCAUGGGCUAAGGAGGAGACUGCUACAGUCCUGUGAUAGCCCUGGAUAGUAGAGGGGAGGGAGGGGGGAGAGAGAGGAAGGAGGGUGUAGCCUUCCUAGUCUGGAGGUGGUUUAAACUCAAGACACUAUACUUAACAAAAAUGCCAGCCUUAGGAAAGCCCAGUUCCUAGUAUGGAGGAGCCUCUGUUAGCCUUGCUAAGGAAGCAAGGCACUCCCAGCCCUAGGGCAGAGCUUGGAGGUAGGGGAAUCUUUGCCUGAGAUCCCCUGAAGCUUUGGCAUCAUCAAUAACACAGAAGGUUUAUUGAAUGUGUUAGUGUUGGGCACUUGGGAUCCAAAGAAGCACGGAAGGUUUACAAUCUAGCUGGGAAGAUGGCUAUUUAGCCAAGACACAAUCUGAUAAAAGUUAUGAGGCUGAAAAGGAAAGGGAGAGGACUGGUGUCACCAAGGAAGCCUUCACCAAGAAGAUUAGAUGGAUGUGAGUUGGGUUUUGCAGUAUGCCUAGUAUGGAGCCUUUUGGAAAUAAGCCUUUUUUCUCUAUUUCUUUAUUUGUCAAUAAGGCAUUGAGAAAAGUUGAGUCCAUCUACUUGGCCAGCCUACUGAAUUUUUUUCUCCCAGGUUAUCCAAAGCUACUUUCUUAUCUAAAGCUCUGAUGGGAUAUAUAUGCCCAUUCAAUAGAUAUUGUAAACUGAG